GUUGGCCAUGAUGAACCUUUGUGAUGGCGGGAAAAGGGAUUGACCACUUUCUGCCCCUAUAGUUCUGGUGACAAAAAUGUGAUAGCUGAGACACCUGACUCACUCUGGAGCCUGCAAAUGAGGUCCUGGGAUGACUAACAACAAGUCAGCGGGAAAAAAAAAGGGUAAGAAUUUUUACCAAGGUCAGUUCUAGGAGACCUUUAGCUGUAAUGCCUGGUUGAGAAUGGAAGA